AAAACAACUCUCAUCAAUGGAUAUCUCANCUCUUGCAUCANUGAAGAACGNAGNGAAAUGCNAUACUUGGUGUGAAUUGNAGAAUCCCNUGAACCAUCGAGUCUUUGAACGCAAGUUGCGCCCGAAGCCGUCAGGCCGAGGGCACGUCUGCCUGGGCGUCACGC
rnacentral:rRNA from 1 species